AGUUAGACCAUUCGCUUAAUUUCUUCCUACAGGAAGAGGAUUUAUAUGAAAUUGAUAUUCCAUUGAGAUUUAUCUCCUCGGUGGGUGCUAGAGUGCAUGGCUUGGCUUGCUGGUUUGAUGUACUGUUCAAUGGGAGCACUGUACAAAGGUGGCUUACCACUGCCCCUGGUGCACCAACAACGCACUGGUACCAAUUACGUUGCGUUCUCUCUCAGCCAAUUUAUGUCAUGGCAGGACAAGAAAUUACUGGCCGACUCCACAUGAUUGCGCACAAUGCUCAGAGUUAUACGAUCUAUCUGACAUUGUCAACUAAAAUGUGGGGGCCUGGUGCUGAACAAGAAGGAAUACUUCAGACAUCAUCAUGCAAACUUGAUCUCAAGGAGCCCUACUACAGAAUGUCUCAACCACAAGCCUAUCCGUUAACCCAAGAUCAGCAACAACAUCAGCUAAUAAGCACGCAGGUAUUGACUAACCCUGUCAUGGC